UUCAACGGCCGCGGUAUCCUAACCGUGCAAAGGUAGCGUAAUCACUUGUCCCUUAAAUAGGGACCAGUAUGAACGGCUAAAUGAGGAUAAAUCUGUCUCCCUUAACAAAUCAGUGAAACUGAUCCACCAGUACAAAAGCUGGUAUAACCCCAUAAGACGAGAAGACCCUGUGGAGCUUUAAAUUUGACCCAAACAAUAAGACACAAAUUGACACAUGGCUAAAAAUUUUAAGUUGGGGCGACUUCGGAAAAAAACUAAACUUCCGAGCAUAAGACUACGUCAUAUCAAGACAUACAAGUCGAAACUAAAAUUGACCCAGUAACACUGACAACCGAACCAAGUUACCCCAGGGAUAACAGCGCAAUCUUCUUCAAGAGUUCCUAUCGACAAGAAGGUUUACGACCUCGAUGUUGGAUCAGGACACCCAAAUGGUGUAGCCGCUAUUAAA
rnacentral:rRNA from 1 species